GUAGCCGCUGCCGAAGGCUGCGAUAAGGCCCGAAGGGCCUUCGGCGCCAGUAAGAUCGCUGC
rnacentral:miRNA from 1 species